rnacentral:rRNA from 1 species
GAUGAACGCUAGCUACAGGCUUAACACAUGCAAGUCGCGGGGCAGCAUGGAUGUCCUUUCGGGGACAUCUGAUGGCGACCGGCGUACGGGUGAGUAACGCGUAUCCAACCUGCCCUUUACAACGGGACAGCCCGUCGAAAGGCGGAUUAAUACCGUAUGUUGUCAUGUUGAUGCAUAUUUUCAUGACCAAAGGCUUCGGCCGGUAAAGGAUGGGGAUGCGUCUGAUUAGCUUGCCGGCGGGGUAACGGCCCACCGGGGCGACGAUCAGUAGGGGUUCUGAGAGGAAGGUCCCCCACACUGGAACUGAGACACGGUCCAG